UACGUAGGGGGCUAGCGUUGUCCGGAAUCAUUGGGCGUAAAGAGCGUGUAGGCGGCCAGAAAAGUCCGCUGUGAAAACUCGAGGCUCAACUUCGAGCUGUCGGUGGAAACUUUCUGGCUAGAGUCCGGAAGAGGAGAAUGGAAUUCCUGGUGUAGCGGUGAAAUGCGCAGAUAUCAGGAAGAACACCCGUGGCGAAGGCGGUUCUCUGGGACGGUACUGACGCUGAGACGCGAAAGCGUGGGGAGCGAACAGG
rnacentral:rRNA from 1 species